rnacentral:rRNA from 1 species
GAUGAACGCUGGCGGCGUGCCUAAUACAUGCAAGUCGAGCGAACGGACGAGAAGCUUGCUUCUCUGAUGUUAGCGGCGGACGGGUGAGUAACACGUGGAUAACCUACCUAUAAGACUGGGAUAACUUCGGGAAACCGGAGCUAAUACCGGAUAAUAUUUUGAGCCGCAUGGUUCAAAAGUGAAAGACGGUCUUGCUGUCACUUAUAGAUGGAUCCGCGCUGCAUUAGCUAGUUGGUAAGGUAACGGCUUACCAAGGCAACGAUGCAUAGCCGACCUGAGAGGGUGAUCGGCCACACUGGAACUGAGACACGGUCCAGACUCCUACGGGAGGCAGCAGUAGGGAAUCUUCCGCAAUGGGCGAAAGCCUGACGGAGCAACGCCGCGUGAGUGAUGAAGGUCUUCGGAUCGUAAAGCUCUGUUAUUAGGGAAGAACAUAUGUGUAAGUAACUGUGCACAUCUUGACGGUACCUAAUCAGAAAGCCACGGCUAACUACGUG